rnacentral:rRNA from 1 species
CAGCAGCCGCGGUAAUACGAAGGGUGCAAGCGUUACUCGGAAUUACUGGGCGUAAAGCGUGCGUAGGCGGUGGUUUAAGUCCGUUGUGAAAGCCCUGGGCUCAACCUGGGAAUUGCAGUGGAUACUGGGUCACUAGAGUGUGGUAGAGGAUAGUGGAAUUUCCGGUGUAGCAGUGAAAUGCGUAGAGAUCGGAAGGAACAUCUGUGGCGAAGGCGACUAUCUGGGCCAACACUGACACCGAGGCACGAAAGCGUGGGGAGCAAACAGGAUUAGAUACCCGAGUAGUCCCUGUCUCUUAUAA